rnacentral:lncRNA from 1 species
GGAAGGUGAGGGAAGCCUUAUUCCCCUUACCAGGCUAACCCAGAAGGGAGGAAGCCCUGCUGAAGGGUGCGUUGGGCAGAGGGUGGGGAACCUCUCCCAGGGUUUAUUAAAACACUACCCCAAACCCACACUCACACACACAGAAGCAGGUCAUGUCCACACUCACUCACACAGAUAUACAUGGCCACACACAAACAGGGUCACAGUGACACUUCCCAUAUAAACAGUCAAGGUCACUCUCACACAUACCCUCACAAUCAGGGACAGCAUUGUUGGCAAAACAGUAGCUCCACAGCUUGCUGAGCCCCAGGCCAGGCAUUCCAACAUCCAGCUAUUCUCAGGGCUCCCCCAGGUAUGUGUGCACAAGAGGGUACCCCAAGUCUGGGUCCGCUGUCCCACACAGCAUCACGCAGCCACCUGGAAUCGCUCCAGGUCCCUUCCUUAUUGCAGGAAGACUUUGAACCAUACAGAGAAGAGCCACAGUGAGUGACAGAAACACAAGCAGGGGAGAAAGAAACAGCCAGAAAGACUGAAGAGAAGGCUGAGGCUGAGACAGAGACGGAGAGAGAAGGAGAUGAGGACUCAGGGACAGACAGAGACCCCAGUCACAGGACAGAAAGACAAAGAGAAAGACAAAGACAAGAAAGGGACUUGACCAACAGGGAGAGAGCAGGAUGGCCAGAAGGGCGCGGGGACGCUGCGGGUGGCCGGGCGGGAGGGGGCGCCCGGGACGCGGAGAGCCGGGAAGGCGCGGGCGGCGGCGGCCGAGGAUGGAAAAGCUCAUUUUGCUGUUGGCUUCUUAGCUGAGGUCAGAGAUCAGAGGAUGUUCCAUCGCUUCCUUCAGUUUUCCAUUUAACACUAUCAUCAGACUUCCUCUAUCCUUAACAAUACUGUCUCCAGGAUGGGAAUCAGAGCAGGACUCCGAUCUGUGUGAAGAUCAGUGUUCAAGUCGCAAUUUGGUUUCAAACUGAGGCUGAGGUAAGUGGUUAUAACGACCCUGAUUGGUGGGUUGGUUUAAGGUUUCUGAGGGUUAUACCUGUUAGGUCACUAAUCCUCAUAAAAACCCUUUUAAAUCAGCCUCACUUUAAGAUGGGGAAACUGAGGCUCAGAGAGAAGAAGUGACUUGCCCAAGGUCAGACAACUGCGAAGUGUCAGCUCCAGGUCUCACCCCAGAUCCUCCUGACCCCAGGGCAGUAGCCCUUCUGAUAUUCCACAGUGCUGGGGUCAGCACCGGGCUCCAGAGAGGGGCAGGGCAGUCUCAGAAUUAGGAUAGCCAUGAAUUUCCACCCCCCCACCCCACCACUGGACCAGAGUGGCUGAAUGUCCCCACUCAUUUAACAAGAAGUGCUCCUGCUGUGGAGUUACUGAACGCUGGUUAAAAGGACAAAACAGCCAAAGGCUAGUGGCAUCGGAAACUAGAGAAAUUAGGUGUAGACAUGGAGAAGUACUUUCAGUCUGUGGGAACACCAAGCUGGAUUUUCCUAGCACUGGAGAGACCCUGAGCUAGAUCAUGCAGGGCUGGGGAGGGAGCCUAUGGAGCCUGCAAGCAGGGAGGUGGGG